rfam:Ajellomyces capsulatus H88 supercont1.3 genomic scaffold, whole genome shotgun sequence.
UUACAUGAUGAGAGAACUUUAAUUAGCUCUAGAUCAGAAGCCACAUCUUUGCGGCAGUGACUGAAUCAUCUGCAUGUAUUAUCUGAUGU